rnacentral:lncRNA from 1 species
AUAAGACUAAGUCUAAUUCUCUUACUCUCUUAAUCCCUUUCCCUUGUUUCCAAGGACAGGAAUUAGAAAUUUAGAAUUAGGUUUCUCUCAAGUCUCAAACAAAAAAGUAAAGAACAAACCGUCUGCGACUGCUGCGAGUGAAGAAUAGAUCGGCACGACGACUUCACUACCUCGGUGUCGACGACUCUCAAGUGUAACUGCUUAUUUUCUCAUUUUUGACCUUCAUUCUUCAAUCUUCAACUCUUCAACAGGUUCACAACUUCUUCAUUCUUUAAUAUUUAGUUUGUAUUUUGUAACCAAUAACUUCUUUUUUGAGUACAAAAGGAACUAUAAAGUAUAAACCCAAUACUUUAGUUAAAAAAUAAAAUGGAAAAUGCUUAUGCAAUCUGCAAAAAUAAUAAGGAAAAAAAGUCUUUCUUAUCAAUCUGUUGUUAACCAACGAUGAUGAGCCUUAACCAAACAUAUUUUGUUAUAACAAUCUCAUCAGAAACAGUUAAUUGAGCAAUUGGACUAAUAUAGUCUUCACUCUUCAUUAUUUGUACAAUAAGGUUAUACUUAGAGAACAAUUCAAGUUUCUGACAAUUAAAGUCUUAAAUAGCCAAGAAUCUAGCAAAAAGUCUUAGGACUGUGAUUUUUUUAAAUAUAGAUCAAUUCAUUGUUAUCUAGUCCUUAUGGGUAUGUGGUAUGGGUAUUGGAAUUAAUUUUAAGCACUCGUAUCUGCUCUGUGGAUUUAUAAUUGGUUUUGGAUGAUUUGUUUUUAAUUUGAUCCCUACAAACCCAUAUAUAACAAUUUUUGUUUUGAUUUGCAUAUUUCAUCUUUGAUGCUAAGAAAUCAUUGAUAGAAAUUAGUUUAUCUUUGCUUCAGUAUUAUUAAAGGUGAAAUCUUUGUUGCUAAGAAAGUAAUUAAUAAGGUGUAUAUCUAUACUCAACUCCAGUCUCAAUUUGUAUUUGUAUCUAUUUUAAUUUUGUAUAGAUGGCAGAUGAAAGUAGAGUAAGUGAUGUCGAUUCAACUGAAAGCUUAUCUAUUACUGAAGAUAGCAAUUCCAACACAAUUGAUACUCAAGAUUCUAAGAAAAGAAAAGCCAUAGAACCUAGAUCCGAUGUUUGGAAAUAUUUUGAUAAAUUUGGAAAAAUGGGGUGGUAAAGCGAGGUAUAAAUAUUGUAAAUAGGCUUAUGCUGCUAAUUCAUCUAGGAAUGGAACAAUAUGAUUGAGAAAUUAUUUUACUAGAUGCAAACAAUACCCACCUAACAUUGAUAAAGAUAAUACUCAAACAAGGAUAAACUUUCAAUCUUGCCAUUGGGAUGGAGGAUCGCUUUGGAAAUUUGAUCAAGAAAGGGUUAGGAGGGCUUUAAUUAAGAUGAUAGUUAUUGAUGAACUACCAUUUAGCUUUGUAAAAAAGGUAGGCUUUAUGAAGUUUAUGAGAAUAGCUCAACCACUAUUUCGUCUUCCUUCUCAUAGAACAAUAAUAAGGGAUUGUUAUGAAGUUUACGGUAAAUUAAAGCAAAAUCUAAGAAGGUCUUUUAGAGAAGCACAACCAAAAAUUUGCCUCACAACAGACACUUAAACUUCAUUGCAAAGAAUAAAUUAUAUGUGUUUGACAACCCACUUCAUUGAUAGGGAUUUGAAGUUGAAGAAAAAAAUACUAAAUUUUUACCCUAUCACUAGUCAAAAGAGUGAAGAGAUGGCUAAAGCUAUUGAUAAUUAUUUGCUUGAAUAAAAAUUAGAUAAGGUGUUCACUAUUACCAUGGACAAUGCUUCCUCAAAUGAUGUCACAAUCAAAGAAUUGUCUAAAAAAAUAGUUAGAUAUGUGGAAAACUAAUAUGAUGGGUGGUAAGCAUCUUCAUGUGAGAUGCAUGGCUCAUAUACUUAAUCUAAUUGUGCAAGAUGGUUUGAUAGAAAUUGAUGUUUCUGUACUGUGAGGUAUGUGAGAUCAUCGCCUGCAAGGACCUUAAAGUUUAAGUAAUAUUGUGCACAUAUAAAAGUAGAAUGUACCAAAACAUUGUGUUUGGAUGUUCCUACUAGGUGGAAUUACACCUAUUUGAUGUUGGAUAUGACACAAAACUUUGAAAAGGUAUUUGACAAAUUUCAUCUUUUUGAUGAUGAAUUUUCUGCUUAUCUUUGUUCUCAUCUUUGUGAAGACGGUAGUAGUGAAGGUCCUCUUGAAUCUGAUGAUUGGGUGAAUGUGAGGAACAUGAUAAAGUUUCUUGCCUCUAACAACUUGACCUCUAACAGCUUGACCUCUACCUCUAGUGGCCUGAACCCCGCCUCUAGCUGGUUGAGCAGGCGGUGGAGCAACCAGUGACAAAACCAUGGCACGAGAACCCUGCGAUGGUCUGCUGCUCAUCAAUCUAGGACAAUACCUCCUGAUAUGACCCGUACCUCUACACUCAAAGAACUUUCUCGAUUGUUGUGGAUGCCGAAGCUAAGACUGACCAUUACGCCCGAAUAACCACUAUAGUAGCUUUAUUGCGGUGGUGCACUAAUAGGAGCUGAAGGUGUACUGAAUGUUGGCUGCUCAGGAUGGGACCCAUAAGAAUCAUGACUACCCGAAGCACUAUGUGCUACCUGGAGCAUUGACUGAAUCAGCCCGUGGGGAUGGUCUCUACCAAAUGAACCUCUGCCUCCAAAUGAGGCACCAAUAAAACUAUCAAAAUGAUUAGGCUCUUCUCAGACAUCAUCUCUCUACCCUAACUAUGAAUCAUCUCGAUCCAUCUAGCAAUCUCUACAGCCUUUUGGAAAGAAGUAUUGUCUCCCGUCUCCUUGGCCAUUUGAAGCCUGAUUCCGAAAGUAAGAUCAUAAAUAAAUCUCUUCACCCUAUCCCUAUCUGCAGGAAUCAAAAUAGUUGCAUGGCGGGCUAGAUCCACAAAUCUGGUCUCAUACUGGGUAACAAUCAUGCCACCCAAUUGGAGGCACUCGAUUUGCUUGCGAUACUCCUCUCUCAAAGUGAAAGGAAUGAACUUCUCCAGAAAUAACUGUGAAAAUUUAUCCCAAGUAAGUGGAGGUGAACCGGCUGGUCUUCUCCACUCAUAAUCCUACCACCUCCUCUUGUCAAAAUCGAUCAUCUGCAACACCGCAAAGUCAACUCCAUUGGAUUCCACAAUACCCAUGUUGCACAAUAUCUCGUGGCAACAGUCCAAAUAGUCAUGUGGGUCCUCAGAAGGUGUACCACCAAAGUGAACAGGAAAGAGCUUGGUAAACUUAUCCAACCUCAUCAAUCCCUCAGAAAACAUCACGAGCCUCUCCCCGGGUUGUGUAUCAAUAACGGCUGAACUACCCCAAUUGUUAGAAUCGCCGGAAUCUGAUAUAUGGGAGCCAUCUGUUCCGGAGUGUGAGUGGCGGGAGUCUAUGCCCCUCCCCCAGCCUGAGAGACAGUUGGUGCCAUAGGAAAUACUCCAGCACGGGGCACGCUCUCCAUAAGGCCCACCAAACGGACUAGAGUGUCCUAAAGUAUGGGAAUAGCAAUAAAUCCCUUCAGGACCUGAGCAGAUUCGACUGGUGCCGCCUGGACUGGGAUCUCUUCCUCAUGAUCAAUCUGAGGCUCCGCAAUGGGUGCUGCUACACGUGCUCUAGGCUGAGCUCUGCCUCGUACCCUACCUCGGCCCCUACCCCUACCCCUAGUAGUGGCUGCAAUAGGGGGCUCAGGCUCCUUCCCGGUUGUAGAUAUUGUGCGAGUUCUCACCAUUUGCGGCAUAACAAGAAUAGAAUGGUUCAAACUUCAGUAAUAGAAUAGAGUCACACGAUAAAGAAAGAAAGAAAGAAAUGAAAUUUUCCUAAAGCCUUAUAGCCUAUAGAAGAUAAGUACAAACGUCUCCGUACCGAUCCUCUAGACUCUACUAAGCUUGCUCAUGACUCGUGAGACCUAGGUAACUUAGUGCUCUGAUACCAACUUAUCACAAUCCGGAAUCCCAUACUCGAGACCGUGAUGGUGCCUAACAUUUUACUUGCUAGGCAAGCCAACGUUAGCUAAAUUACUUAACUAGUUUUAAUAAUUCAAAUUGAAACAUUAAUAAUAAUAAACUGUAGUCAUCUGAAGUAGAAUAAUAAAAUACCAAAUGACGAAAUCUAAACAUAUCCCAAAAUCUGAGUCACGAAUACAUGAGCAUCUAAUACUACAAAUACGGUCCGAAAUAAUGUACAACUAUUUGAUACUAAGUAAACAGUGAAACUGGAUAAAGAAGGGGACUCUAGGGCUGCGAACGUUGUGCAGCUAUACCUCAAGUCUUCAAAGCAGCUGAAUAUGAGCAGUCUCGCUACGCAUCGCUGGGACCAACACUGGUAUUUGCACAAGAAGUGCAGAAGUAUAGCAUGAGUACAACCGACCCAUAUACUCUGUAAGUGUGGAGCCUAACCUCGACGAAAUAGUGACGAGGCUAUGGCAAGUCACUCACGAAUAACCUGUACGAAAUAAUAAUAAUAGAAAGACAUGAAUAGAAAUAAAGCAAUAAACUCUUAUAAACGGACCCGAAUAUCAACUACCGGAGAGCCCCAAAUAACAAAAUUUCAUGUCUCAUAUCACAAUACAGAGGAUACUGAAUCCCAUGGCGGUGCAUAUAAACUCGACACCUCGCAUAUACGCCACUUCCCCACAUAAUUCACAUAACAAAUAAUUCAACAAGUCUCGAUUCCCUCAAGUCAAGGUUAGACAAAACACUUACCUCUUUCUGCAAUCAAAUCAACACUUAACCACGACCUUUCCUUUAGACUUAGCCUCCAAACCAGUCAAAUCUACUCAAAUAUAGUUCAAAUAAUACAAAAUAAGCUUUAGAAAUUACCCAUGAGUGAAAAUGAUUUGAUCUUUGAUGAACUUGGAAAAAGUCAACAAAAGUCAACCCCGGGCCCGCUUGGUCAAAACCCGAGAUUCAGACCAAAAUCCAAUUACCUAUUCACCCCCGAGCCCGGUUAUGUGAUUUGUUUUUUAAAUCCGACCUUAAUUUGAGGUAUAAAUCUCAAUUUCACAAAAUUCCCAAAUUCUACCCAAAUCCCUAGUCUCUUCCUUGAAAAAUCCUAGAUUAAAGGUUAAAAUCAAUGGGCGUUUAUGAAAAUGUAACAAAGCAAGCUAAAAUUUACUAACCAAUGAAUUAGGGAUGAAAAACCUCUUCAAAAUAGCCUCUAGGCCGAGCUCUAACUUCAAAAUGGUGAAAAAUGGUUCAAUCCCCGACUUUCAGCUAUUUUAAUAUCUGGGCGUCAGAUGUUUUCACAUUCGCAAAGCACCCGAUGCAUUCGUGAAGAGCAACAACCAAUUCGCAUUUGCGAGGUACUCUUCGUGUUCACGAAGGCUUACUCCCCACAUGCCUUCAGGAGCCAAGGUCCGCGUUCGCAAAGAGUAAUCGCUUGACCUUUCCUGAGAUCCCACAAAGCUUUGUGUUCGUGAGAAGCCUGUCGCGUUCGCGAAGAAUAAGUUCCCAUCCCCUUCGCAUUCACGACCAGUCCCUCGUGUUUGAGAUGAGCAAUCUACCCCAGCCCAAAACUUCCCAUUCGCAAUCGCGAGAGAAGCUUCGCGAUCACGAAGCACAACACACCAGACACAAGAAACUACUGUUGUACCAGUUCAAAAUGACCCGAAACUCAUCACACAAGUGUAAUAACAUCAUAUAAACUCGCUAGCAUGAUCAAAUCACCAAAACAACAUGUAGAACCAUGAAUCGGACAUCAAAACGCAUGAAAUUUUAAAGAAAACUCAAGAACCUCUAAAAAUCAUAACCAUGUGUCCUAAUCAGAUCAAACCAACUUCGAUUUGCACCAAAUUUUGCAGACAAAUUUCAAAUAGAAAAACGGACCUAUACCAAGUCCCAAAAUCAAAAUCCAAACCCGAUAGCCAUAAAGUCAACCUACGGUUAAACCUAAGAAGUUUCCAAACAGUCAAAUUACUAAUUUUCGAUAAAACAAGUCAAAUCAACCUAGGGACCUCCAAAUUCAAUUUCGGGCAUACGCCCAAGUCCAAAAUCACAAUACAGACCUACUUGAAUUAUCAAAAUAUAGAUUCGGGGUAGUUUACCCAAAAUGUUGAUCGUAGUCAAUUUAAGUUAUUUUUAAAUCCAAAAAUCAUAUUUUCAUCAAACUUUUACUUAAAAACAAUCUAGAAAAAGACACGGACUGUGCACGCAAAUCGAAAAAUAUCAAAUGGAUCUAACAGAAGUUUGAGAGCACGAUAAUAAGGGCUAGUACUAAAAAUCACCUAUCGGGUUGUCACAAGGCACAUAUUAGGCAGAGAUAGCAGAUUUACUUUCAUAAACUCUUGCGUGAAGAAGGAGAUAUGAGCAUUGUGUUGGGAGAUUUGGAUUACUCUGAGUGACAUUGAGAUAUUAGGUAUUGUAGAUGCAUAAGAGUGAGAGAGGUUGAAGGGGCUAUACGCAGGAUGAGUAGGGGUAGAGCGACUGGGCCAGACGAGAUCCCUGUAGAAUUCUGGAUGAGCGCGGGUAAGGUAGGCUUGGAAUAACUGUCUAGGGUUUUUAACGUCGUUUUUAGAACAAAGAAGAUGCCUCAAAAGUGGAGGUGGAGUACCAUGAUUCCCCUAUACAAGAACAAGAGGGAUAUCCAAAACUGCAAUAACUAUAUGGGUAUCAAGUUGCGAAGCCAUUAGCCAUACGAUGAAAGUUUGGGAGAGGGUGUUAGAAAGGAGGAUAAGGAGGAGUGUGUCCAUUUCUGAGAACCAGUUUGGUUUCAAGCCGAGACGAUCGACUACGGAAGUCGUUCACCUUGUGAGGAGAUUGAUAGCAGUAUAGGACGAUGAAAAAGGACUUGCAUAUGGUGUUUAUUGAUCUAGAGAAAGCUUAUGACAAAGUCCCGAGAGAGGUUCUUCGAAUAUGUUUGGAGGCUAAAGGAGUGCAUGUAGCUUAUAUUAGAGUGAUCAAAGAUAUGUAUGAUAGAGCUAAGAUACGGGUAAAGAUAAUAGGAGGAGACUUUGAAUACUUCUCGAUUGAGAUGUGGUUACAUCAGGGAUCAAACGGUGAACUGUCCAUGUAAUUGUCAUUUUAAUAUUUUUAAAAUCAUUGAUUUUAUUUAAUAAGAGAACGAGUAAUAGGUGAUUGUAAUAAUGUAAAGCAUGAAAUAAACGAAAGAGUGAAGUAGUAAAUUUAAUAAUCAAAACCCAUAAAAUGUCUACUAGAGUCUCCCAAAACCUGGUGUCAUAAGUACACGAGCAAACUAGUAGAAUCUACAAAACCUCCUAUACUACUGUCUAGAGUAAGAUAGACACAAAAGAAUAAAUACAACAAGAAGAGACUCUGGGCGCUGCAGAACGGGCAUAAAGAGUAGCUCACUCUUAAGUCUCCGGGUAGCGGGUACACGCCUGAAUGGCCGCCAGAUGCACAUGCCUCAGAUUCUGUACGAUUAGUGCAUAAGUGUAGCAUGAGUACAAAAACAACAUGUAUUCAGUAAGUAUUUAGUCUAACCUCGAAGAAACAGUGACGAGAGGUCGACAUCGACACUUACUAAGGGUCAAUAAAUAAAGUGCAGAAAUUAUAAAUAGGCAUGGAAUACAUCAGUAAUAACAAAAUAAUGAACAAUAGGUAAGUGGGUCUUUAACUAGAUAUCAAUAAAAAAACUCUCCAACUAUCACAUACUAAUUUCAACAAAUAAGCGCCAUCAAGUAAUUAUAAAAUCUCAAGUCAUGGAAAAAAUAUCAAGUAUAAUCGAACUCCGAGCAAUAUUACGCACGAUUUAUGCCAAGGUCGUACGACCCGAUCCAGAUUAGUGUGUACACUGCCAAAGGUCGACCGGCGCGAACCAUAAAUGCAUCUAUUAUACUACCGAGGCACUCGGCCUGAUCCAUAGGAAGAGAGAAUACUCUACGAACUCUGACUAACGGCUACUACAUAAGAAUAAUACUCAAGGAAGGUAUAAUUUCCACCAACAGUCAAGUAACCCGCCAAAACUCAAAGUAGUGAAGCUCAAUCUUUACAAAUCCUUUAUCCAAUUUCAAAUAUAAUUUAAGUAAUUAAACUAACAAGUUGGGUACAAAUAAUACAAGUAAUACAUGGUAGAGUCCUAAAACCACCUGGACAUAAGCAUGGUUUUUAACUACAUGCGAAAUCUCGUCACAUCGUACGCACGUAGCACCCACGAUUAUUAGCAAACAAUCAUUUAUAGCACAUACGGGGAAACUUUUCUCUUACAAGGUUAGGCAAGAGACUUACCUCGUUUUCAAGUCCUCUUCCUGAUCCACAAUUCACACUAAAGCCUCAAAUCAGUGCGAGCAAUUCGAAACUAGCCAACUAUUGUAUAAAUUAAUGAACAUAUGCUUAAAAGUUUAUAAUUUAACUAUUAGAGUAAUUACCCAACCCAAAUUGGAAUAUUCUUAAAAUUCACCCCCGGGCCCAUGUGCCCGGAUUUCAGAAUGUUUUUGUAAAUAAAAGUUAUCCAUAACCUCACGAACACACAUAUAUAAUUUCCACAAUUAUAUAAUUUGUACAAUUUAUCAAAACCUAGGUUUUUCAACUAAAUUCUAUAAUUUCGUGGUCUAAUCCCAUUUUUAUCAAAACCUAGGUUUUUCAACUAAAUCCUAUAAUUUCCACAAUUUAUACGUUAAAAUCUACCCAAAAUCCAUGUAUUAAAUUCACAUUAAGUAGUAAUUACUUACCUUACAAUGAUAGGUGAAAAAUCCUUCUCCAAGAGCUCCAAAAUCGGCUAAUCCAAAGUGAAAUGAGAGAAAAUGAACCCAAUCCCCUGAUUUAAAACAAGUAUCUGCCUAGCUAACCCUACGUUGCGAUCGCAGAAGAAGCCUCGUGAUCGUGAAGGCAAAGUUGGCCCCUGCCCUGAGACCUUUUAUCGCGAACGCGAUGACUCUCUCGCGAUCGUAAAGGCUUGACUUGCCUGAGCUUCGCGAACUCGGUGGUCCAUUCGCGAGCGCGAAGAGUAAUGAAGCUGACCCCUCCCAGGCCCCUUUUCCCCUAUGCGAAUGCGGGCCCUUUCACGCGAACGCGAAGGCCACAUGACCGAGACUUCCGUGAAUGUAGACUGGGUAUCACGAACGCAAAGAGCAAAUACCUAGUCCCCCAAAUUCCUUCUCCGCGAAUGUGACACAACCUCCGCGUUCGCGAAGAAGGAAACCAGAACCAACAAUAACAGAUUUUUAGACUUAGCUCCGGGUGGUCCGAAAUCCACCUGAGCCACACGGGACCCCAUCCAAUUACCCCAACAAGUCCAUAAACAUAAUACGGCCCUGCUCAAAUACUAGGAACACGUAAAACAACAUUGAGACCAAGAAUCGCACCCCAAAACCAAAUUGAAUCAACUUAUGAACUUCAAGCUUUUCCUAACUUCGAACGUGCCAAAUCAUACUUAGACUACUCGGAAUGAUACCAAAAUUUGUGUACAAGUAAAAUCACCAUAUAGAACUAUUCCCAGGCUCGAAAUCCCAAAUGGACCUCGAUAACACCAAAGUCUACUCCAAACCAAAUUUAAAGAGCUUGAAAACCUUUAAUCCGCCAACUUUCAACAUUAAGCGCUGAAAUGCUCCUGGAUCAUCCGAAACCCGAUCCGAACACACGCCCAAGUCCAAAAUCAUCAUACAAACCUAUUGGAACCGUUAAAUCCUAGUUCUGAGGUCGUUUGACUCAAGUCAAACUUGGCCAUCUUAGGCCACUAUUAAGGAACAAAGUGUUCCGAUUUUAACCCAAACCCUUCCAAACCUAGGUUAACCAUCCCCGCAAGUCAUAAAACAAUAAAGGCACAUACAGAGAGUCCUAAUUAGAGGAACAUGGAUCUAGAAAGUAAAAAGACCGAUCGGGUCGUUACAUUCUCCAUCUCUUAAACAAACGUUCGUCCUCGAACGAGUUUAGAAUCAUACCUGGAGUGGUGAAUAAGUGUGGAUAUCUGCUCCGUAUGUCCUCCUUGGUCUCCCAAGUCGCCUCCUUGGCUGGUUGACCCCUCCACUUGAACUUUACUGCAGAAAUAUUCUUAGACCUCAACUGGAGAACCUGCCAGUCAAUAAUGGCAAAUAACUCCUCCUCAUAACCCAAGAUCUCAUCUAGCUGAAUCGUGAUGUUGUCUAACACAUGCGACCUAUCAGCAUGAUAUUUCUGGAGCAUAGACGUGUGGAAAAUUGGAUGAACUCCUGAUAGAUUGGGAGGCAAAGUAAGCUCAUAAGCAACCUCCACAACUCACCUCAACACCUCAGACGGGCCAAUAAACCUUGGGCUCAGCUUGCCCCUCUUCCCGAACCUCAUGGUUCCCUUAAUUAGUGAGACUUUUAAGAGAACCUUCUCGCCCACCAUUAAUGAUAAAUCACGCGCCUUCUAAUCUGCGUAACUCUUCUGUCUGGACUGUGUUGUGCGAAGUCACUCCUGAAUCAACUUUACCUUCUCCAAGGCAUCCUUCACUAAAUCAGUGCCAUAUAACCUAGCCUUGUCGGGCUCAAACUGUCCAAUGGGCGAACGACAUCGCCGACCAUAUAAAGACUCAAAUGGAGCCAUAUCGAUGCUGGACUGAUGACUAUUAUUGUAAGCAAACUUGCCAAAGGCAAGAAUUGAUCGCAGUGCCCUCCGAAGUCAAUCACAUAUGCUCUGAGCAUAUCCUCUAGGAUCUGAACUGUCUGCUCUGACUGCCCGUCGGUCUAUGGAUGAAAGGUUGGGCUGAGCUCUACCCGGGUACCCAACUCGCCCUGUACUACUCUCUAUAAAUGCAAAGUGAACCGAGGGCCUCUAUCUGAAAUGAUGGAAACAUGCACACCAUGCACCUGGACAAUCUCCUAAAUGUAAAUAUGGGCCAUCAUCUCUAACGAGUACGUAGUCAUUACUGGAAUAAAGUGUGCCAACUUGGUCAGCCUAUUUACAAUGACCCAAAUGGCAUCAAACUUCCUCAACGUCUGUGGCAUACAAAAUCCAUAGUGAUGCACUCCCAUUUCCACUUCGGUAUAACCAUCUAAUGAAGUAGGCCACCUGGCCUCUGGUGCUCAUACUUAACCUGCUGACAAUUAGACAUCUCGCUAUAUACUAAACUAUGUUCUUCUUCAUACGCCGCCACCAAUAAUGUUGCCUCAAGUUGCGAUACAUCUUCGUAGCACCUGGAUGAAUAGAUUACCGAGAACUGUGUGCCUCCUCUAGAAUUUUCUCCCUCAAUCCAUCAACAUUAGUAAAAACUAGGCAACCUGGAGUCAUAGAACACCAUCCUCACCGAUAGUAACCUCCUUGGCACCACCCUAUAGUAUCGUCUCCCUAAGAACUAGCAAGUGCCGAUCAUCAUACUGGCGAGCCUUGAUCCGCUAAAAUAAUGAAGACCGAGCCAUAACAUAUGCAAGAACUCGACUAGGCUCUAAAAUAUCCAACCUCAUAGGUCUGUUAACCAAGGACUGAAUGUCCAAAGCCAAUGGCCUCUCCUAUGCUGAAAUGAAUGCCAAACUACCCAUACUCCCGGCCUUUCGUCUCAAGGCAUCCGCAACUAUAUUCGCCUUGCCCAGAUGAUAAAUGAUAGUAAUAUCAUAUUCCUUCAAUAACUCAAGUCACCUGUGCUGCCUCAAAUUGAGAUCCCACUGCUUGAACAAAUGUUGCAAGCUGCGAUGAUUGGUUUAAACCUCAUAGGACACCCUAUAAAUAUAAUGCCUCCAGAUCUUGAGAGCAUGAGUUAUUGUGACCAACUCCAAAUCAUGUACGGGGUAAUUUUUCUCUUGAGGAUUCAGCUGAUGUGAAGCAUAUGCAAUAACUCGCUCAUCCUACAUCAAUACACACCCCAUGACAAUGUGUGAAGCGUCGCAAUACAUAGUAUACAUCCCUGAACCAAAAGGCAACAUUAACAUUAGUGUUGUAGUUAAUGCGGCCUUGAGCUUUUGAAAGCUCGCCUCGCAAUUAUCGGGCCAUUGAAACGGAGCACCCUUCUGGGUCAAUCUAGUCAAAGGCGCCGCAAUAAAUGAGAAGCCCUCUACGAACCGACGAUAAUAACCUGCUAACCCUAAUAAGCUUCUGAUCUCGGUCGCUGUGGUAGGACGAGGCCAACUCUGGAUGGCCUCGAUCUUCCUGGGAUCUACCUUAAUACCCUUACCUGAUACACAUGCCCCAAGAAUGCUACAGAAUCUAACCAAAACUUUCACUUGGAGAACUUAGCAUAUAACUUUUGUUCCCGCUAGGUCUGAAGCACAGCUCUCAAAUGUUGCUUGUGCUCCUCCAUACUAUACGAGUAGAUCAAUAUGUCAUCAAUGAAUACAAUGACAAGUGAGUCAAGAUAUGGCAUGAACACCCGGUUCAUCAAAUCUAUAAAUGCCAUCGGGGCGUUGGUCAAGCUGAAGGACAUUACUAGAAACUCGUAGUGUCCAUAUCUAGUCCGAAAAGCCAUCUUCAGAACAUCUGAAGCACGAAUCUUCAGCUGAUGAUAGCCAGAUCUCAAGUCGAUCUUAGAGAACACCCUGGCACCCUACAAUUGGUCAAAUAAAUCAUCAAUACAGAGUAACGAGUACUUGUUCUUAAUGGUAACUAUGUUCAACUGGCGGUAAUCAAUGCACAUCCGCAUAGUUCCAUCCUUCUUUUUCAUAAACAACACCGGUGCACCCCAAGACGACACACUCGGCCUGACGAACCCCUUCGCUAGAAAAUCCUCAAGCCGUUCUUUCAACUCCUUCAACUCUUUCGGAGAUAUGCAGCAUGGUGGAAUAGAGAUAGGUUAGGUACCUGGCGCUAAGUCAAUACAGAAAUCGCACCACGGGCACUGAAUCAAUCAUGAGAAUCUCUACAGCAAUAUCCCGAACGUAAGCCAGAUAAUCCAAAAAACCUUUCUCUACCAUAUGUCGAGUCUUAAAGAAAGAAAUAACCCGACUAGAUGUACUGAUAGAUGAACCCCUUUACUCAAAUCUAGUCAACUCUGGCAUCGCCAAGGUAACAAUAUUAUCAUGGCAAUCAAGAACGACAUGGUACGGAGACAAUCGGUCCAUGCCUAGGAUGACCUCAAAGUCGGUCAUGUCGAGCAACAGAAGAUCCGCUCUCGUCUCAUAACCACAGAAAGUCACAAUACAGGAUUGCAAAUCUGAUCCACAACAACAUAAUCGCCCACUGGUGUGGACACAUAUACAGAAGCACCCAAGGACUUACGAGUGACACCUAAAAAAUGAGCAAACACAAAUGAAACAUAUGAAUAUAUAGACCCUAGAUCAAAUAGUAUCGAGGCAUCCCUACCACAGACAGAAAUAAUACCUGUGAUAAUGACGUCUGAGGCUACUGCAUUUGGUAUGGCUGGAAAGGCAUAGAACCUAGCUGGAGCACCACCUGACUGGCCUCCACCUCUAGGCCAACCUACCCUCCUUCCCUCUGCCUCUGGUCGGUCAGACGGCUGGUGCGACAGCUGGUGCGAUGAUCAUGGGUUGAUAGCCCUACUGUACUGCCUUGCCCCGAAGCCUAGGGCAGAAUCUCCUCACAUGACCAAGCUCCCCGCACUCAUAACAACCUCACGGUAUAGAAUAUGACUGAUCCUGAGUCUGACCAUGGGGACCUGAAUACCCACUGGAAGAACCCUGAAUAACUGGUGGACAGUAGGAGCUCUCUGGAAUGGCACUGAAAUAGGGCCACACAGGAGCACCAUGAGAAGGCGGCGAUGCCGAAUACGUGGGCCUGCUAGACUGGCCCCUCACGAAUUGAUCUUUACCCCCAGGCGAAGCACUACUUAACCCUCCAGAAUAUCGAGGUCGCUUGUCCCUUGACUCCUGCUCUCGGCCAUGCUGAAGAAUACCCUCUACCCUCCGAGCUAUCUCCACAACCUGCUCGUAAGGAGUCUAUAUCUCAAUCUCUUGGGCCAUAGUGGCAUGGAUACCAUAGUGCAAGCCCGUAAUAAACCUCCCCACUUUUUUUGCAUCGGUGGAGAGUAUAUACGUGCAUGGAGAGACAACUCCAAGAAUCUCGCCUCAUAAUCGGUCACAGACAUCUGGCCCUACUGGAGCCGCUCGAACUGACCCCGUAACUCUUUCCUCUGAGGGGGGUGGGAUAUCUCUCUCCAGAAAGAGACGUGUGAAAUGGUCCCAAGUCAUGGGAGGAUAACCUGCUAGUCUACUGAGAAGAUAUGACUACCACCAUCUACGGGCCCUGCCCUCUAGCUGAAAUAUGGUAAAGUCCACCCCGUGGGACUCCAAUACUCUCAUGUUGUGCAGUAUAUCCCUGCAACGAUCAAUAAAGUCCUGGGGGUCCUCAUAUUGCUUACCACUAAAGGCAGGAGGAUUUAGCCUGGUCCAUCUAUCCAAUAGCUUCUGCGGCUCGCCGGUCGCGGUUGGUUUGGGCUCUGGUAUAACCAUAGUAAUUGGCUGAGCCCCGCCCGUAGGUAGUGCACCCGGGGUUUGAUAUACGGCAAUAGCGUGCCCUGGAGCCUGAGCGAUAGGGUUCUGUUCUCCCCCUCCCGCAUGAGAUGUGGCUGGGUCUACUGGAAAUAAACCAGCCUGCGUCAUAGAGUCCAUGGACCGCAUCAUAUGGCCCACGACCUCCUGAAAUCCCGGUGCGGACAUGAAAUUCGUCGGGUCCGGCUCAGCUGCAGGUACCUCACCCUGCUCCUCAAUAAUAGGAUCCUCCACUGGAUCCACUGUUGGCACAACGAGAGCAACUCUAGGAUGCCCUGAUACUCUGGCAGGAGUUGGAGCCCUCCCUCGGCCUCUAGCAACAGGGGGAGCAGCUCCUCCACCGCCGGGUAUAUCUGUCGCCGCAUUCUCACUAUCUGUGAGAGAAUAAGAGAAAGAUACUUAGCACAACAUCAACUGCAAGAUAGUAGAUGAAGAAAGAAAAGUUUCCUAACACCCUAUAGCCUCUCGAAGAUAAGUACAGACGUCUCCGCACCGAUCCGCAAGACUCUAUUAGGCCCGCUCAUGACUUGUGAAGCCUAUGUGAACCUAGUGCUAUGAUACCAAGCUGUCAUGACCCAAUUCCCACUAUAGGUCGUGAUGGCGCCCAACGUCGCCGCUAGGAAAGCCAACGGUGAACUAUCCAUUGUUCAUUUUAAUAUUUUUAAUGUCAUUGAUUUUAUUUAAUAAGAGAACGAGUAAUAGGUGAUUGUAGUAAUGUAAAGCAUGAAAUAAACGAAAGAGUGAAGUAGUAAAUUUAAUAAUCAAAACUCAUGAAAUGUCUACUAGAGUCUCCCAAAAUCCGGUGUCAUAAGUACAUGAGCAAACUAAUAGAAUAUACAAAACCUCAUGCACUACUGUCUAGAGUAAGAUAGAUAGAAAAAUAAAUGCAACAAAAAGAGACUUCGGGCAUUGCAGAACGGGCCUAGAGAGCGGCUCACCCCUAAUCUCCAGGUAGCGGGGGUACGCGCCUGAAUAGCCGCUAGAUGAACAUGCCUCAGAUCCUGCAUGAUUAGUGCAGAAGUAUAGCGUGAGUACAUAAACAACAUGUAUCUAGUAAGUAUCUAGUCUAACCUCGAAAACGCUGCGACGAGGGGUCGACAUCGAUACUUACUAAGGGUCAAUAAAUAAAGUGCAGAAAUUAUAAAUAGGCAUAGAAUACAUCAGUAAUAAUGAAAUAAUAAAAAAUAAGUAAGUGUUUCAUUAACUAGAUAUCAAUAAAAAAAUCUCCAACUAUCACAUACUAAUUUCAACAAAUAAGCGCCAUCAAGUAAUUAUAAAUUCUCAAGUCAUGGAAGAAAUAUCAGGUAUAAUCGGACUCCGAGCAAUAUCACGCACGAUUUAUGUCGAUGUCGUACGACCCGAUCAAGAAUAAUAUGUACACUGUCGAGGGUCGACCGACGUGAAUCAUAGAUGCAUUUAUUAUAUGCCGAGGCGUUCGGCUCGAUCCACAGGAAGAGAGAAUAGUCUACGAACUCCGAUUAAUGGCUACUACAUAAAAAUAAUGCUCAAGGAAGGUAUAAUUUCCACCAACAGUCAAGUAACAUGCCAAAACUCAAAAUAGUGAAGCUCAGUCUUUACAAAGCCUUUAUCCAAUUUCAAAUAUAAGUUAAGUAAUUAAACUAACAAGUUGGGUACAAAUAAUACAAGUAAUACAUGGUAGUGUACUAAAACUACCCAAAUAUAAGCAUGACUUUUAGCUACAUGUCUCGUCACAUCGUGUGCACGUAGCACCCAUAAUUAUUAGCAAAGAAUCAUUUAUAGCACCUACGGAGAAAAUUUCCUCUUACAAGGUUAGAUAAGAGAUUUACCUUCUUUCCAAGUCCUCUUCCCGGUCCACAAUUCAUACUAAAGCCUCAAAUCGGUGCCAGCAAUCCGAAACUAGCCAAAUAUUGUAUAAAUUAAUCAACAUAUGCACAAAAGUUUAUAAUUUAACUAUUAAAGUAAUUACCCAACCCAAAUUGGAAGAUUCCUAAAAUUCACCCGGGCCUACUUGCCCGGAUUUAGAGAAAGUUUUGUAAAUAAAAGUUACCCAUAACCUCACGAACACAAUUAUAUAAUUUCCACAAUUUAUCAAAACCUAUGUUUUUCAACUAAAUCCUAUAAUUUCACGGUAUAAUACCAUUUUUAUCAAAACUUAGAUUUUUCAACUAAAUCCUAUAGUUUCCAUAAUUUAUACAUUAAAAUCUACCCAAAAUCUAUGUAUUAAACUCAUAUUAAGUAGUAAUUACUUACCUUACAAUGAUAGGUGAAAAUUUCCUCUCCAAGAGCUCCAAAAUCGACUAACCCAAAGUGAAAUGAGAGAAAAUGAACCCAAUCCCUGAUUUAAAACAAGUCUCUGCCCUGCUGACCCUUCUUCGCGAUCGCAAAGGCAAAGCUGGCCCAGGACCUGAGACCCUUCAUCGCGAACGCGAUGGCUCUCUCGCGAUCGUAUAGGCUUGACUCGCCUGAGCUUCUCGAAUACGGUGGUCCCUUCUCGAUUGCGAAGAGUAAUGAAGUUGACCCCUCCCAGGCCCCCUUUCCCUUAUGCUAAUGUGGGCCCUUUCACGCAAACGCGAAGGCCAUAUGUCUCAGAUCUUCAUGAACGCGAAGAGCAAAUACCAGUCCCCUAAAAAUCCUUAUCUGCGAAUGCGACACAAUCUCCGCGAUCGCGAAGAAGGAAACCAGAACCAACAAUAACAGAUUUUUAGACUUAGCCCCGGGUGGUCCGAUACUCACUUGAGCCACUCGGGACCCCGUCCAGUUGCACCAACAAGUCCAUAAAGAUAAUACGGACCUGCUCGAACCCUCGAAACACGUAAAACAAUAUUGAAACUAAGAAUCACACCACAAGACCAAAUUGAAUCAACUUAUGAACUUUAAGUUUUUCAACUUACUCCGAACACGCCGAAUCAUACUUAGACUACUCGGAAUGACGCCAAAUUUUGCGUACAAGUCAUAAAUAACCAUACAGAACUAUUACCUGGCUCGAAAUGCUAAACGGACCCCGAUAACACAAAAGUCUACUCCAAACCAAAUUUAUUGAAAUCCUUCAAUGCGCUAACUUUUAACAUUAAGCGCUGAAAUGCUCCCGGAUCAUCCAAAACCGGAUUUGAACACACGACCAAGUCCAAAAUUAUCAUAUGAAACUAUUAGAACCAUCAAAUCCCAGUUCUGGGGUCGUUUACUAAAAAUAUUUACUCAAGUCAAACUUGGCCAUCUUAGGCCACUAUUAAGGAAUCACGUGUUCCGAUUUCAACUCAAACCCUUCCAAACCCAAGUCAACCAUCCAUGCAAGUCAUAAAAUAGUAAAUUCACAUAUGAAGAGUCUUAAUUAAAGCAAUGUGAAUCUAGAAAGCAAAAUGAUCGGUCAGGUCGUUAUAGGACCCAUCGAUGCGACACAUUCAAGGGAAAGUGCCACAAUGUGUGUUAUUUGCUGAUGACAUAGUUCUGAUUGAUGAGACGCGAGGUGGUGUUAAUGAGAUGGUGGAGGUAUGGAGACAUACCCUUGUGUCUAAAGGUUUCAAGUUGAGUAGGACCAAGAUAGAAUACUUGGAGUGCAAGUUUAAUGGUGCUACCCAAGAAGAGAACGUGGAUGUGAGGUUUGAUAUUCAAUUCAUUCUCAAGAUAGAGUUUCAAGUAUCUUGUGUCUGCAAUCCAGAGUGAUGGGGAGAUUGAUGAGGAUGUUGUAAUGACCCGACCGAUUGUUUUGAGAUUAAGCAUGUCGAUUAGUGGUCUAAGGCUUUGAGUAGCUUCACUUUAUGUUUUAUGAGUUGUACAUAUGGUCAGAAUUUAAUUUCGGGAAGUUCGGAAUAGAUUUGGAAGGAAAAUUCUCAAUUCGAAAGCUUUAAGUUGGAAGAGUUGACCAAGGUUUGACGUUUGAAUAAACAACCUCAGAAUCAAGAUUUGAAGGUUCCAGUAGGUUCGUAUGAUGAUUUCAGACUCAGACGUGUAUUCGGCUUGAGUAUCGGGUAGUCCGGGAGCAUUUCAACGCUUAUUUUGGAAAGUUGGCAUUUUGAAAGUUUUAGAAUUUCAUAAGUUUGGUUUGAAGUAGAUUUUGAUGUUAUCGAUGUCCGUUUGAAUUCCAAGCCUUAGAAUAGAUUCGUAUUGUGAUUUAUGACUUGUGCGUAAAGUUUGGCGUUAUUCUAGAAUUUUAAAGUAUGAUUCAGACACGUUUGUCGAAGUUUGGAAGUUUGAAAAUUGAAAGAAGGAUUUUGAUCGUCGAUUCAUGAUUUUGAUGUUAUUCGUGGUAUUUCAAGCCUUUGGAUAAGUUUGGAUAAGGUAUUGGGACUUGUUGGUGUGAUUGGACGGGGUCCCGGGGGGCCUCGGGGUGUUUUCAGAUCAUUUUCCUCCAUGUUUUGCUGUUGCUGAUGCUGGUUCUGGUGUUGUUCAUCACGAACGCGUAGGGUUGCUCGCGUUCGCAAAGAAGGAUUUGAGUUGGAGGAGUUUUGUUCAUCGCGUCCGUGAUUAGGUACCGCGUUCGCGAAGGUGUGAGCGGAUGUGCACCGCGUUUGCGUAAGGGAAGAGGCUAGGCCUGGAAGCUUGGAUUUCGCAUCCGUGAAGAGGUGGCCUGGUGAAACAUCACGUUCGCGACCCCAGUCUCGCGUUCGUGAAGGGGAGUUUUGUUGCUGGAUUAGGAUGCUCUUCGCAAAUGCGUGGGUAAGGUCACGUUCGCGAAGAAUGGUGGGUUGUGCAAUGUUGUUUUAAAACGAGGGUUUGGCUCAUUUUCAUUUUAUUUCUUCCAUGGGAGACGCCCUUGGAGUAAUUUUGGAGCGCCAUUUUCAUCGUCAAUCAUGAGGUAAGUGAUUUCUAUAAGUUGUGAGUUAAAUACACAAAUUUAGGCUUGUUAAUUCAAGAAUUUGAGUGGAAAAUGUGGGUUUUUUUGUAGAAGCCUAGAAAAUUGUAUUUUCGGAUUUUGACCACAAAAUUGGACAUGGACAUGGAAUUGGGAAUAAAUUAUAUAUUUGAUUUCAUGAUGUUAUGGGUAGUGUUUAUCUUCGAAAUUUUUUGGAAUCCGGGCAUGUGGGCCCGAGGGUUGACUUUGUUGACUUUUCGAGCGGAGUUGGAAAUUGUUAUAAAUUAAUUAAUUAUGAUGUUGGAAUAUAUUUAUUGAUUUUUUUGAUUGUUUGACUAGUUUCAAAUCGUUGGGCAUCAGUUUGAGGUGUUAGAGAGGCGUUGGAGCCGAUUAUGGAACUUCGGAGCGAGGUAAGUUUCCUGUCUAGCCUUGUGAGGGGGACAUUAUCCCGUAAGUGUUAUAUUCUUAUGUGCUACAUGUUGUAGGAGCUACGCACGUAUGAGGUGACGAGUGUCCGUGCGUAUGCUAGGACUUUUGAUUAUGUCCGAGUACACUUAGACUCACGCCAAGCUUAAAUUGUACUAUUUGAGUCCUUCUUGCCUGUUUAAAUGCUCGAAUUUACACUUAUCACGAGACUAGACUCACAUAGAUUAUCGUACUAGCUAUUUAGAUAUUUGACGAGCUACUUGGUUAGCCAUAUAAAUUGUACUUCCGUUACGAACUUCUCAUGUGUUGUACGUAUCCGUCAGAAAGUUUUUCUUGAAUCUCAUAACUCACACAUAUAUUUGUGAGUGGGGUCGAAGACCCAUAAAAGCUUCAUAUUCUAAUGGGAUCGGAUCGUUCGCCUCGGCAGUAUCAUGUAUCAUAUUCUUAUGGGAUCGGGUCGUGCGCCUCGGCAGUAUCAUGUAUCAUACUCUUAUGGGAUCAGAUUGUUCGCCUCGGCUUCUAUAAAACUACUCUUAUGGGAUCGGGCUGAACGCCUCAGUAACGCUCUUAUGGGAUCGGGCCGUUCGCCUCGACAAGAUAUUGUAACAUACUCUUAUGGGAUCGGGUCAUUCGCCUCGACAAGAUAUUGUAACAUAUACUCAUAUGGGAUCAGGCUGAACGCCUCAGCAACACUCUUAUGGGAUCGAGCUGUUCGCCUCGGCAUGAUAUUGUAACACACUCUUAUGGGAUCGGGCCAUUCGCCUCGACAAUAUCAUGUAUCAUAUUUUUAUGGGAUCGGGCCGUUCGACUCGGCGGUAUCAUGUAUCAUACUCUUAUGGGAUCAGACCAUUCACCUCGGCAUUUCUAUAAAACCACUCUUAUGGGAUCAGACCGCUCGCCUCGACAGAAUUGUGCGAAACACUUGAUAAGGAGUCCGCAUAUUCAUGAAUUUUCCAAACUUGAGAUGUGACCGUUGAUUUGGUGUUGACCAUUUCAUACUCCAUUUAAGAGGUAUCCGGUAUUUGAGGACUUUGUGUUCACUGUUCAGCUGUAGACCGUAUUAUUUACCUAUACCUGUACUCGUUGUUACCUACUAUGUUUCAUAUUUGCCUACUUUAUUAUAUUUGAUUUGUUGGCCCACUAGUAAGUGUCAAUGUUGGCCUCUCGUUACUACCUCUUCGGGGUUAAGCUAGAUAUUUACUGGGUACACGUUGAUUUACGUACUCAUGCUGCACUUCUGCAUUAAAUGUGCAAUAUUUGACAGGUUCAUUUGAUGGUCACUUGGGCGCGGAGGCGCAACUUCUAAGGGGACUCUAUGGUGAGCUGUAUUCCAUGCCACGAUUCGCAGCACAUCGAGUUUCCAUCAUAAUUAUUUACCUUAUUCUGUCUACCUUGUAUUCCAGACAUAUGAUGUAUUGUUAUUGUACUUCCUAGUAGAUGCUCAUGUGCUUGUGAUACUAGAUUUUGGGGUGUUCUAGAAUUUGUGCACAGUUGCUUACAUUGACACACUUUUACUUUAUAUUUCAUUGAAAUUGUACAUACCU